rnacentral:lncRNA from 1 species
CUAUUCAAAAUAGUUCAAAGAUGGAGUUUUAACAAUUCGACUACCAAAUUGCCACCAGGACCAUGGAAACUACCCCUCAUAGGAAACUUACAUCAGAUUAUCAGCAGAUCAUUGCCCCAUCAUCUCUUCAAAAUUUUGGCAGAUAAAUAUGGACCUCUAAUGCACCUUAAACUAGGAGAGGUACCAUACGUAAUAGUUAGUUCACCAGAAAUUGCCAAAGAGAUUAUGAAAACACAUGAUCUCAACUUCUGCGACAGGCCAAACCUUCUUUUGUCCAAUAUAUAUAGUUACAAUGCUACAGACAUUGCCUUCGCUGCAUACGGUGAACAUUGGAGGCAAUUACGAAAGAUAUGUGUUAUAGAGCUAUUAAGUGCAAAGCGUGUACAAUCAUUUAGGUCCAUAAGAGAAGAUGAGGUGUCAAACCUUGUUAAAUCAAUAACUGCAAGUGAAGGAUCAGUUGUUAAUCUCACUCGGAAGAUUUUCUCAAUGACAAAUGGGAUAACAGCGCGGGCAGCUUUUGGGAAAAGGAAUAGACACCAAGAUGUGUUCAUACCAGCAUUGGAGAAAGUAGUGGUGCUAUUAGGAAGAUUUGAAAUUGCAGAUUUGUAUCCUUCUAUUAAAUUGCUUCAAUGGAUGACUAGGGAGAAGACCAAAAUGGAAAAACUUCAUACAGAGAUUGAUAUGAUAGCACAAGACAUCAUCGACGAUCACAGAAGUAUUCACAAGGAAGCAAGCAAUGAUGAAGAUCUAGUAGAUGUUCUUCUCAAGAUUCAACAGGAAAAUUAUCACUCAGAACAUCCUUUAACCGAUGACAAUAUGAAAUCAAUCAUCCAGGUUAGUCUAAACCGAAAGUGUUAGCAAGUUUAUUUCACAAUUUAAAAACUAGUUUACAAAUUUGCAUACGCUUAGAAGUCAGAUUUCUAGAGGAAAAAUAAAUAAGAUUAUCUUGAUUAAUAAUGCUCAUUCCGUCCCUAUAUCUAAGCAGUAAGCACCCUUUUAUUAGAGGGAAAGGGUGCUUACAUACAGGGACGGGGGGAGUAGUAUUUUGGAGAGACGUCAAAUUAAUGACUUAACUAUUGGGUAGCGUUGUAUGUAAUGUUAAUGUUAAUCCAUUUGUAGGACAUGUUCCUUGCUGGUACCGAAACAUCGUCACAGGUUCUGUUAUGGGCGAUGUCUGAGAUGGUGAAGAACCCAAAGGUAAUGGAAGAAGCACAAGAUGAAGUAAGUAGAGUGUUUGAUAAAAAGGAGUAUGUGGAUGAGACAGAGUUGCACCAAUUGAUAUACUUAAAGUCCGUCAUCAAAGAAACAUUGAGGUUGCAUCCCGUUGCACCAUUGUUAGUUCCAAGAGAAAGUAGGGAGAGAUGCCAAAUCAAUGGGUAUGAAAUCCCAGCUAAGACAAGGGUAAUGGUUAAUGCUUGGGCUAUUGGAAGAGAUUCAAGGUAUUGGGUUGAAGCUGAGAGUUUUAAACCUGAGAGGUUUGUUAAUAGUCCAAUUGAUUUCAAAGGCACGGACUUCGAAUUCAUACCAUUUGGUGCUGGAAGAAGGAUGUGUCCAGGUAUUUCAUUUGCCAUACCCAAUGUUGAGCUGCCUCUUGCUAAGUUACUUUAUCACUUUGAUUGGAAGCUUCCCAAUGGAAUGAGCCAUCAAGAACUUGAUAUGACUGAGUUUUUUGGGAUUACUGUAGGUAGAAAACACGACCUAUGUUUAAUUCCUACUACUCGUCGUCUUUAAUGUGUAUUAUCUAAGCAAACAAAUUCAAAAACAAUGUUCCUAAUAAAAUUUGUAAUGGUAAACUUUACAUAUAGGUUUACUAUAUGUCGUCUAAAAUUUGUGUAUGAUUGUACCACAAAUAUAGAAUAUGUGUCCAAGCAUUGCAUUUGGUUUAGCCAAUGUUGAACUGCGUCUUGCUGAAUUACUUUAUGACUUUGAUUGAAAGCUUUCCAAUGGAAUGAAUAAUGAAGAACAGUCGUUUGGGCUGACAGUCGGAAGAAAACACGACCUAUGUUCGUUUCCUAUUACAGGUUGUCUAUAAUAUUUGUAUUGUGCACUGCCUUUCAAAAAGAAAUAUUUGUAUUGUCUAACCAAAGAAGUUCACAAUGUGGUUAAUUAAUUACUUAUACUACUUUCUGCAAGGCGUCGUGUAAUUCGUUGUUCACAUUUUUAUUAAGAUUCUACGUUUGACAUUAGAUAACUUGAAAAUCCUGGGAUUUCUUCGGUUAAUCAGUUUGUUCCAACUCCUUCAUCAAAUCAAGAUAUGCCAAAGCAUUUGCAUCAUUUUGCACGCCUAUUUUAGUAUGUUUAAUUUGUAAGGAUUAAGAUUUCUCUCUCGGUUUUCUAUGUAGGACCACGAGAAAGAUGCAACUAAUUUCAUUUUUGUGUCAUGUCUCACUUGGUUCUCAGCAUUUGCAAACAUGCAUGUCGGUAAGUAUGUACGAGCAUGAAACAUUAUUCUUGUUAUUCAUUGCCUAUCCAAAAUAAAUAAAUAAAAUAGUUUUUGUAUUCUUUAAUGGGAAAUGCUAAUUAACUUGUCUAUUUAUGAAAUCUUUAACAUGAGUCAUAAGGGUACAAGUUAACAAGACCCUUCAUUAAUUUACCAAGCUUGUUUAAUGUUUUAACUUCAGGGGACACACAAGGAAUGCGGUGAAAGGAAUUUAGCAACAAAUUCAAAAUUCUUUGUGCUUUUGUACCCAAAUAAAUAGAUAUGUUUUUUUUACCUGAAAUCAUUAAAAUUUCAGGUAACGAUAAGUUAAUUAUUAAAGGAGUAAUGCUAGCAACACUCUUUUGAACACACUCUUUAAUACUACAUUUCUUAUUGGUUUAAAUCAUUGUGAGUCUACACUUUGAAAAUUGAACCUACACAAAGUGAUGGGACAUACAUUAAUUUCAUCUAAUAAAAGAGUGGAUGCUACAAAGAGUGUUCAAAAAUAAAUGUUUCUAACAUUACUAUUAUUGAUGUGUUGCCUCUUAUCUCAUUUUAAUAAAAAUCUCACCACUAGUUCAUAUACUUUACCACUAGUUUCUCACACUACACAUUCUAACACUAGGGUUUAUAAUAUCAUUCUGAUUCACGAACUAGUUAAAAGAUGUUGUUUUUUCAAGGGCGAGGGUUUGGUUGUUGCUCUCUUAGUUGCACUCUUAUCCUUUGAAGUUGAUAAAUAAAUGAAACCAAUUACUUCGAUUGAUUAUGAAAGCUCAAAAGACAUAAGUAUAAGGUGUUUUGGAAAGUGGCCCAUAGACCAAAAUUAAUUCAGAUUUUUUUUCCGGUAAGGGUGAUUGAUUUGGUAAUAAUGACAUAUAAUUACAAGUCUAGCAAGACCCUAUUUGAAAAUGAUAGAUUACCAAAUGGAGUUUAUCUGAAAUCACUAGUGUCUCUUGGUUUAACUAUGUAGUGCUAUUAUUAAUUCUUACAAAUAAUUUAUUUGACAUAAUGACCGAAGUAAAUAAUACAUUAAGCUCUUCAAAAUGUUUGUGGAUGAUUUUUUCAUGUGCAUAAUACAAAAAAUAUAAUUCCACAAAAAAAUUGAUAGGAUCAAUUCAAUUUAAUAAGCCCUUGAAGGAAGAUGACAAUCGAGUCUGACAUGGCGUGCUGCAAUUUAAUUAACUCUUAAUCGCAAAUUAUUAAUAUGAUGGUGUUGGACGUUUCAUUUUGACUCCACAAAGUACACCUUAUUCUUCAUGUGUGUCUUACUUUUUAUUAAAUUGCUUUGGACUGGUUGUUCUAUUUUUUACCACACAAAGCACACCUUAUGCUUCAUUUGUGUCUUUAUUAAAUUGCUUUGCAUAUAUUAAAAAAUAAUAAUAAACAACAGGCACAUGUUUGGUGCAAGGAGAAAAUGUUAUUUAACAUGUCUGCAUUAUAUUGAAAUUGCAAGUGAUCUAAUUUUGAGUGUUUUGCAUAGAAAUCUUCUUUGUCAAGGCACUCUUCAGAUUCUCUAGAUCAAGCUACCAUCAUGGAGCUUCAAAACCCUUUUUCGAAUAUCAUCUUCAUGCUCUCCUUUCUCAUCCUCUUAGUUCUAUUCAAAAUAGUUCAAAGAUGGAGUUUUAACAAUUCCACUACCAAAUUGCCACCAGGACCAUGGAAACUACCCCUCAUAGGAAACUUACAUCAGAUUAUCAGCAGAUCAUUGCCCCAUCACCUCUUCAAAAAGUUGGCAGAAAAAUAUGGACCUUUGAUGCACCUUAAACUAGGAGAGGUACCAUAUGUAAUAGUUAGUUCACCAGAAAUGGCAAAAGAGGUUAUGAAAACACAUGACCUUACAUUUUGUGAUAGGCCAAACCUUCUUUUGUCAACAAUAUGGAGUUACAAUGCUACAAAUAUUGUCUUCGCUACAUACUGUGAACAUUGGAGGCAAGUACGAAAGAUAUGUGUUAUAGAGCUAUUAAGUGCAAAGCGUGUCCAAUCAUUUAGGUCCAUAAGAGAAGAUGAAGUGACAAAUCUUGUUAAAUCAAUAACUGCAAGUGAAGGAUCGGUUGUAAAUCUCACUCGGAAGAUUUUCUCAAUGACAAAUGGGAUAACAGCGCGGGCAGCUUUUGGGAAAAGGAAUAGAAACCAAGAUGUGUUCAUAUCAGCAAUGGAGAAAGUAUUGGUGCUAUUAGGAGGAUUUGAAAUUGCAGAUUUGUAUCCUUCUAUUAAAAUGCUUCAAUGCAUGAGUAGGGAGAAGACCAAAAUGGAAAAAAUUCAUAGAGAGCUUGAUAUGAUAAUGCAAGACAUCAUCGACGAUCACAGAAGCAUUCACAAGGAAGCAAGCAACGAUGAAGAUCUAGUAGAUGUUCUUCUCAAGAUUCAACAGGAAAAUUAUUACUCAGAACAUCCUUUAACCGAUGACAAUAUGAAAUCAAUCAUCCAGGUUAGUCUAAAACCAAAAGUGGUAGCAAGUUUAUUUCACAAUUUAAAAACUAGUUUAUAAAUUUGCAUAGCUUAGAAGUCUGAUUUCUAGAGGAAAAAUAAUUAGGAUUAUCUUGAUUAAUAAUAGUAAUUUGGAGAGAACAUCAAAUUAAUGACUUAACUUUUGGGUAGCGUUGUACGUAAUGUUAAUGUUAAUCCAUUUGUAGGAUAUGUUCAUUGCUGGUACCGAAACAUCGUCAGAGGUAUUGUUAUGGGCGAUGUCUGAGAUGGUAAAGAACCCAAAGGUAUUGGAAGAAGCACAGAUUGAAGUAAGAAGAGUGUUUGAUAAAAAGGGGUAUGUGGAUGAGUCAGAGUUGCACCAAUUGAUAUACUUAAAGUCUGUCGUCAAAGAAACAUUGAGGUUACAUCCCGUUGCACCAUUGUUAAUUCCAAGAGAAAGUAUGAAGCCAUGCCAAAUUAAUGGGUAUGAAAUCCCAGCUAAGACAAGGGUAAUGGUUAAUGCUUGGGCUAUUGGAAGAGAUUCAAGGUAUUGGGUUGAAGCUGAGAGUUUUAAACCUGAGAGGUUUGUUAAUAGCACAAUUGAAUUCAAAGGCACGGACUUCGAAUUCAUACCAUUUGGUGCUGGAAGGAGGAUGUGUCCCGGAAUUGCAUUUGCCCUACCAAACAUUGAGCUACCUCUUGCUCAAUUACUUUGCCACUUUGAUUGGAAGCUUCCCAAUAAAAUGAAGAAUGAAGAACUAGAUAUGACCGAGUCAUUUGGGAUUACUGUAGGAAGAAAGCACGAUCUAUGUUUAAUUCCUAUUACUCGUCGUCUUUAAUAUGUAUUUUCUAAGCAAACAAGUUCAGAACGAUGUUCCUUAUAAAAUUUAUGUAUGAUAUUUGUACCACAAAUAUAGAAAUAUUUGUCAAGCAUUGCAUUUGGUUUAGCCUCUUGCUGAAUUAUUUUAUGAAUUUGAUUGAAAGCUUCCCAAUGGAAUGAAUAAUGAAGAACUUGAUAUGAUUGAGAGUCAUUUGGGCUUACAGUCCAAAGAAAACACGACCCAUAUGUUUGGUUCCUAUUACUGGUCGUCUACGAUAUUUAUAUUGUCUAAGCAAACAAGUUCACAAUGUGGUUAGUUUUCUUAUACUACUUUCAGCAAGGUGUAUGAAUCGUUGUUGAUUUUUUUUUUUUUUUUAAGAUUCUACGUUUGACAUUAGUUAGAUAUUCAAUUUAGUUCUUCUUAAGUUAAUCAGUUUGUUCCAACUCCUUCAUCAAAUCAACAUAUGCUAAAGCAUUUGCAUUAUUUUGCACGCCUAUUUUAGUAGGUUUAAUUUGUAAGGAUUAAGAUUUCUUUCUUUAUCUCUCUCUUGGUUUUCUGCGUAGGACCAGGAGAAUGAUGCAACAAAUUUAGGGUAUACUGAAUUUCAUUUAAAAAAUGUACAUCCGGAAAAUGUACAUCCGAUAUGUAAUUAUCGGAUGUGUAUUUAGGGUCUAAGAGAUAUUAGGGGACCUAAAGAGAAAUGUUCGAAAUAUUUUGUGCUUUAGAAAGAGGGAAAAAAGAGACAUGAUUAGGCACAAUUUUUUUCAAGAUUUAAUUCUUAAUAUUAUAAGAUGUAUAUGGCGAACAUGCCGGUUUUUGUUCUUCUUUGCAGUUUUUUUAUAAAUUUUUAUUUACACUAUUAUAAAUAUAUCUUUCAUCCAUUGAUCACAAACCACAGUCCUUCUUUUCUUCAAAAAAAAAAAAAAAACGAAACAAACCACGGUCCUUCUUACUCAUCAGUACAUUUUUCUCAUAUCAUAAUUCUCUCUACUUUCAUAUUCUCUAUCAUGUCUUCUCCUUCUCCUCCGCUAAAAACCAUUAAUCAAUUCGAUCAUAUAAAAAAAACCUUUUGAAACAUAUAUAUCUUCAAAAAAAGCAUUAAGAGGGUUGAAGAAUCAACUCAACAAUUUUUUUAUUUAGCUAACGAUCUUACUUGAAAGGUGACUCAUAUUUAUUAUGGGGAGCCUUUGAUCUCAUUGGCAUCUAAUAAACAUUUUGAUUACUAUCGUGAAUAUAAACUACUUGAGACUAACACGGAAGUACAAGACAUGUUUGCGGAACAAGAGUUUGGAUUGAGUGGUGAUACAUGUACCACCCCAUGUGGCAAUACACCCUUUACACCCAUACAAAAUUCUGACACGUGGCAACCUGGACCCCACACAAAUAGAAGAUAAAGUGUGGUUGUGAGAUGAACUUACCAAAAUAUCCCUAAUACAUAGGGUGUAUAAUGAGGUGUAUGAAUAAAGGGUGUUCAUGUAACAUUUUCCGUUUGGAUUAGAACCGCUUUUUUUGUACGUUAAGUCUGAGUAGAUUAUGAUAAGUAUCUACAAUUAACUUAUGUCAUGUUUGUUUAUCUAAUUUAAUGUAUUUGUAUCUUAGCGCAUUAUCUUCAUGUUGUAAUAAGUUUUUCAAUGAAAUUGCAUUCCUCAUUUAUUCUACAUUGUCUAUUAAUGUGUUUAAUUAACAUAAUAAAAAUUAACGAUAGAGAUGAGUUAAACGAUAAUAAUAACUAUAUGAAGAUAAUUUAAAAUAAAAUAAAAUAGAAAGUAAAUUUAAUAUUGGUAUGAGGAAAAUUCGUGCGAAUAUGACUGUUUUGCUGACACAAUCUACAUUUUCUCGGUGUUUUUUCCACAACAUCCAUUUUAGUCCAAAUACGAAUAUUGUUUGGUCGACCAUUCUUUAGUAUUUGUAUGGCGGGUUUGUGGCAAAGCUUGGGACCUUCAUGUGGGGGACAAUAACUCGUAUCGUGGACUAUUUCGAACCUUGUAUUAUGGGUGGCGUAUAGACUCUCGUUUAAACUUAUGUAUAAUGGUUCGGUAGUCAUGAUGAAAGCUAGAACAUGUGGCUAUAAUAUUAGAGCAAGGCAUAUAUGUAAAGCUUGAAAUUUCUCAUAGUCACACAACUCUGCUUACACGUCUACCUUGAAAGAUCUCAUUGACCUUCCCUCCCUAUAUUUGAUUGUUUCACAGACAGAGAAAGUAUAUAUCUAUCGAUCAAAUCAAUCAACUUGAUGAGGGUUGAACUUACCCACGACUUCCCGAAUCACCUUCAUACAGUAUUUCGUAAAUGGCAUAACCCACCCUUACAUACGCCUCAUGUCAUGUGCUCCCUUCAUAGUAGGUUGAUUGAACAAGAGCUGUGUUAUAAAUCCAAUGAACUUUCCAGCACGAUUUUAAAAAAAUAUAUAUAUUUAAACUAUUGAGAGCUCAACAAAGCAGCAAUAAGAAAAGGAAGAAGGAUCCCACGAAUUUGAAAGACAUUUUUGUAUUGUUUGACGUUCACAUGACACCAAAAAUAGCACAAAAAGCACCUUACCCUUUUCUCGAAACCAGUCUACUACCAAAAAUAGCACAAAUAGCACAAGGAAUAGUGGAUGAUUAUUUCAUGUGGAUAAUACAAAAAAUAUAAUUCCACAAAAAAAAAAAAAAAAAGUUUUCUAAACCGCAAAUUAUUAAUAUGAUGUCUGUUCUUGACUUCCAAAGUUUUCUAAAAUGUUCAUAUAAAAAAAAUAAAAAAAUUUCUAAGUAUUUUGAUUUAGCGAUAUGCUUCUUGUGUAGUGGUUGUUUUAUUUUGACUCCACAAAGUACACCUUAUUCUUCAGUGUGUCUUUUUAUUUAAUUAUUUUGGAUUGGAUGGUAUCAAUAUUUUUAAUUAUACGUGCUUUAGGUGUAUUGGAGGAUAUCAUCCAAUGAGGAGCACCUAUUUUUGACCACACAAAGCACACCUUAUCCUUCAUGUGUGUCUUUAUUAAAAUGCUUUGCAAAUAUAUAAAAAUAUUAACAACAGGCACGUUGGUUGGUGCAAGGAGAAAAUGUUAUUAAUAAAUAAUAUUUCUUUACAUUGGAACGUGUAUCUUAAUGUUAAUACUGUAUUGAUUUUAUAUUAGUAUUUGUUGCGUAUUAAUUAACAUGUCUGCAUUGUAUAGAAAUUGCAAGUGAUCUAAUUUUGAGUGUUUUGCAUAGAAACCUUCUUUGUCAACAAGGCCUUUGGAUUCUUUAGAUCAAACAACCAACAUGGAGCUUCAAAACCCUUUUUCGAAUAUCAUCUUCAUGCUCUCCUUUCUCAUCCUCUUAGUGCUAUUCAAAAUAGUUCAAAGAUGGAGUUUUAACAAUUCCACUACCAAAUUGCCACCAGGACCAUGGAAACUACCCCUCAUAGGAAACAUACACCAGAUUAGUGGCAGCUCACCCCCCCAUCACCUCUUCAAAAAAUUGGCAGAAAAAUAUGGACCUUUGAUGCACCUUAAACUAGGAGAGGUACCAUAUGUAGUAGUUAGUUCACCAGAAAUGGCAAAAGAGAUUAUGAAAACACAUGACAUCACAUUUUGUGAUAGGCCAAAUGUUCUUUUACCUAGAGUAUUUACUUACAAUGCUAGAGAUAUUGCUUUCUCUACAUACGGAGAACUUUGGAGACAAUUACGAAAGAUAUGUGUUGUAGAGCUAUUAAGUGCAAAACGUGUCCAAUCUUUUAGUUUCAUAAGAGAAGAAGAGGUGUCCGAUCUUGUUAAAUCAAUAU